rnacentral:rRNA from 1 species
AGAGUUUGAUCAUGGCUCAGAUUGAACGCUGGCGGCAGGCCUAACACAUGCAAGUCGAGCGGUAACAUUUCUAGCUUGCUAGAAGAUGACGAGCGGCGGACGGGUGAGUAAUGCUUGGGAAUAUGCCUUAGGGUGGGGGACAACAGAUGGAAACGACUGCUAAUACCGCAUAACGUCUUCGGACCAAAGGGGGCUUCGGCUUUCGCCCUUAGAUUAGCCCAAGUGGGAUUAGCUAGUUGGUGAGGUAAUGGCUCACCAAGGCGACGAUCCUUAGCUGGUUUGAGAGGAUGAUCAGCCACACUGGAACUGAGACACGGUCCAGACUCCUACGGGAGGCAGCAGUGGGGAAUAUUGCACAAUGGGCGCAAGCCUGAUGCAGCCAUGCCGCGUGUGUGAAGAAGGCCUUAGGGUUGUAAAGCACUUUCAGUAAGGAGGAAAGGUUAGUAGUUAAUACCUGCUAGCUGUGACGUUACUUACAGAAGAAGCACCGGCUAACUCCGUGCCAGCAGCCGCGGUAAUACGGAGGGUGCGAGCGUUAAUCGGAAUUACUGGGCGUAAAGCGUACGCAGGCGGUUUGUUAAGCGAGAUGUGAAAGCCCCGGGCUCAACCUGGGAACUGCAUUUCGAACUGGCAAACUAGAGUAUGAUAGAGGGUGGUAGAAUUUCAGGUGUAGCGGUGAAAUGCGUAGAGAUCUGAAGGAAUACCGAUGGCGAAGGCAGCCACCUGGGUCAAUACUGACGCUCAUGUACGAAAGCGUGGGGAGCAAACGGGAUU